rnacentral:rRNA from 1 species
CCUACGGGUGGCAGCAGUGGGGAAUAUUGCGCAAUGGGCGAAAGCCUGACGCAGCGACGCCGCGUGAGGGAUGAAGGUCUUCGGAUCGUAAACCUCUGUCAGCAGGGAAGAACGGUCACUGUGCUAAUCAGCAGUGAAUUGACGGUACCUGCAAGGGAAGCACCGGCUAACUCCGUGCCAGCAGCCGCGGUAAUACGGAGUGUGCGUGCGUUAAUCGGAAUUACUGGGCGUAAAGCGCUCGUAGGCGGUAUGUCAAGUCAAGGGUGAAAUCCCCGCGCUCAACGUGGGAACUGCCUUUGAAACUGGCAAACUGGAGUGUGUGAGAGGAUAGUGGAAUUCCAGGUGUAGGAGUGAAAUGCGUAGAUAUCUGGAGGAACAUCAGUGGCGAAGGCGACUAUCUGGCACAUAACUGACGCUGAGGAGCGAAAGCGUGGGUAGCAAACAGGAUUAGAUACCCUAGUAGUC